AAUUGGAGGUUUUAAGAUCUCAGUCUGAUUACUUCAGCCUGAUUGAGGAACAAAAACAACCUUGUGUUUAAUAUGAAGUCUUAAAGUUUGUCUGUAUAUUAUUUCUUCAUGCAGCUGUGGGCUAGGAACUUCUAAAAAAAGACUGAGACAUGAAGAAAGACAAUCAAGGAAACAGGACUGGCAGUACUCAACAUAAGCCUGAGGAGCUGUGACGCACCACGGGAAAAAUACAGAGCAAGUUUGGAAAUCAGUGGGUCGGGAAGGAUGAGAGGAGGCAGCAUCUUUUCUCAAAAGCUGCUGAGCAAACUCAAGGGCUAUAAAGACCCAUCCAAGCAUGCAAGGUUACAAAGCAUUUCCAGGGAACACUGUCCUGGCAAUGAAAGAAGAGGAAAGCUGAGGAUGGCUCAUAAUAUCAAUAAUUUCAAAAGGAGCAAAAGUGAGAGGCUUCAUGGAGUAGGAUUUGCACAAGAAAGCUGGAUACAAUUUCCAACUUCACCAGGUGGUAAAACAAUUAAUCCAUCCCACAGUCUAUUCCUCCACCUAUACAACA